rnacentral:rRNA from 1 species
UACGAAGGGGGCUAGCGUUGCUCGGAAUCACUGGGCGUAAAGAGCUCGUAGGCGGCCGGUUGCGUCUGCUGUGAAAUCCCGGGGCUUAACCCCGGGCGUGCAGUGGAUACGGGCUGGCUGGAGGCAGGCAGGGGAGAAUGGAAUUCCCGGUGUAGCGGUGAAAUGCGCAGAUAUCGGGAGGAACACCGGUGGCGAAGGCGGUUCUCUGGGCCUGUGCUGACGCUGAGGAGCGAAAGCGUGGGGAGCGAACAGG